UCUGUUGGAGCGUAUAUAGUGUGUUAGCAGGCGUUCAAAUACGUUUCAGAGUUUCUGGGUUUUGUAGAACUGCUUGAAUGUCCUACUAAAUACAUGGCAGAUAGCUUCCUUUGUGUAAUGCUUUAUGUCUUCUCAGUACUUCGGUAUCCUUAGCCUGGGUAGCUUGGGAGGCUAGUGCAAAUUCCUAGACAUAGCUCACCAGGAAAACAUCGAUGUGAUUUCGUGUGCUCAUAGUCAGCACUCCAACUUGUAAGGUUUUGAAUAACAGACUCCUGGCCACUGUCUGGGAUGUCUUGGAGCUAAAGUAAUUUGAAUACAUGUGUUGUUAAUUGAAAAGAAUGACUGAAGAUUAGUUCUUUGUUGGAAACUAAGAAACACAGAGCCCAGAUCUCUCUCUGGCUAUUAACUUCUUUAGGAAAGAGGCUUGCCUCAGGAGACUGUUUGUAAGUGGUGCAUGUCUACCAAUAUGGCGUUUUAAAAAGUACUGAAGUAAAUAAUCUAUACAGACAAUACUUUUCAAAUCAAUUGAAGUUUGACACUGUACAGAUAAUACCUGCUAUAUUGUGAUAUUUAAGCAGACAGUUCUCAUUGUAAUAGAAUUAAACAUUUUCUAUGUCAUUAUUGAAUAGAAGAUUAAAAUACUAGCCCCACCUUAAGUAUUUCCAAAUAAAAAAA